AAUCUCCAUGGCUUCCUGCAGACAUAAAUUCUCUCUUUAGGGGACCACUCACUCUCCUCUUCCAGAAUUGUAGAGUCAUCAUUGUCCCAAAAGAUUAAUAUGUUAGGAAAUGAACCCAACAAUAUAUAGCAAGCUUCCUACACAACCCUCACAUGUGAUGCCAUCUCACAUGUGAAGAGGUAACCAAAGAAACACACAAACUAAAUCAGAACUUCUUGGAUUUAAGAGCUAUGAUACCAUCACAAUAGUUUAUGUCGUUAGGAAAUGAACCCAAGAUUGUAUAUCAAGCUUCCAACAAGGAUGAGUGGAAACCGAUAGCGUAUUGCUUGAAUUUUCAUAGAUGACAGCAGAAACAAUAAAAUGCUUAGCUUAGCGCCCACUUUGGAAAACCUAGCAACUUGAGAUAAAAUUUAAGCAUAUUCCAAUAUAGCUCUAACCCAAUCCAUUUGAACCUUACCAUUUGUAACAACCCUAUCAUUUCCUUGUACCAGCUCUCUUUGGGAGGUUUCUCCAUUUGCCUUCUCCAUGAGCUUUAUAAGCUGCAAGCAUGGUUAUCAGAAUCCCGAUCCGGAUCUUACGAUCCUACGAUCUUACGAUCCAUUUGAAUACAAUCGAUCCGGAUCAUGUAAAAAACUCUUUGUAGGUAGGAUCUUUCGAUCCUAGUAGUGGGAUCUUAUAGGAUCGUGGAAUCCCGAUCCGAAUCCGAUCCUAUCCGAUCCAAUUUAUAAGCCUUGUUUUGUAUUGUA